rnacentral:rRNA from 1 species
UACGGAGGGUGCAAGCGUUAUCCGGAUUCACUGGGGGUAAAGGGUGCGUAGGUGGGCAGGUCAGUCAGUGGUGAAAUCUCCGGGCUUAACCCGGAAACUGCCAUUGAUACUAUUUGUCUUGAAUACUGUGGAGGUAGGCGGAAUAUGUCAUGUAGCGGUGAAAUGCUUAGAUAUGACAUAGAACACCAAUUGCGAAGGCAGCUGGCUACACAAUUAUUGACACUGAGGCACGAAAGCGUGGGGAUCAAACAGG